rnacentral:lncRNA from 10 species
CUCAACUUCUCAUGCUGGUCCUGUAAUCAGAAAUGCCCUUUCUAGACUCUUAUAUCUUUACCACUAAAUCCUCAUGACAAUCUUGUGAGGAGGUGCUAUUAUUCCCAUUUUGCCAAUGAUUAAAAAAAAUUAGGUAACUUAUUUAGGGUCAUACAGAGUGGCAGACUGGGAUGCUAAUGCAGGUAUCUCUUACUUCAAAGCUCAUGUCCUUUCAUUCCCAUGUUUGGCAUUUUAGAGAUAGAUAGUGCCCAACCCAAGACUUGAAGGACUUAUUUCCCUCAAUGUGUUAUAAGCACCCUGUGGGCAGGUCUGAUUAUUUAUUGACCACUAGAGUCAGUGGCGUGCUUGUAAAGGGUUAACAACUGACUCUCCAAGGGGCAUGGGGGAGGCCCUGAUUUACAGAGGUUUUCUGAGUCCUGUGGAGUAAAUACUCCCAUCUGUCUGAUUCCGAGCUACUAGCAUGACGUAUGUCACUGAACAAGGGGUAGGGAACAGGUGCGCAGUAGCACACGUUAGAGGGUAUUUCCACUACACAGACAUCAUUCAUCUGAGCAGCCUCAAGGGCACAGUUAAUAGUAAAAUGGGAAAUAAUUAAGAAAUGAUGAGUUUGUAUCUUUAUUAACUUCAUUUUAAAUCUGAUUUAUUCAACAGUUAUUUUAUGUAAUUUAAUCUUUAAUAAUCAUUACAUUUAACAAUCAGUUUGCAAAUUUCCUAAAAAUUUAACAAUUAGACUCAUAAACUGGUUUGAACUAGCUCCAGCUCACCACUGCUAGAGUCUAUUAUAAUACUUUGCUUUUAGUAGACACGGAAUGGUGGUAAGGAUGCUAAUAAAAAGAACAUGAUUCUCCACUUAUGAGCUUUGAAUGCAACUGGUAACCCAGAUUUCAAUAUUCUUUCCUACAUCUGAGACUUUCUUAGUUCUAUCUCUCACACUUAACAGAAGGCCAAACAAAAAAUAGUUGAGGGUGGAUACCAAAGAAUAGCCAAAGCUCCAACUAAGGACUGUGAAUACUGAACUCUGCCCAGGGUCAGGGUGGGGCCCGAUGCCUGCUUGCAGUUGAAAACAGUCCUCUACAAUUGGGCUUGAGCAAGCCUCUGAGCUAUAACUGUCUUUCCUCCUCGCCUCUUCCUGACCACACCCACAACAAGAGAAGCACUGAAGAAAAAGCACCAGUCAUAAUAUUCUAUUACAUUCCAGAAAGGACAACCUCCCAGGAAGUGGGGAGCCUAGAAAGAAGUAAAACCUAAAUUGCAUCCUCCCAAAGGAGGCGAAGUCCUGAACUUCAGCUAUCUUAACCUUUUGUUAUGGGUGCAGUGCUGAUCUUAAUGGAAACUGGAGUGGGCAGGCACAGCUUAGGGAGAGAGGGACAGCUGGUGAAUCAGCUGUGUUGCAUUACAGUCAGCACUAUCCCUGUCAUGGUUCAGGGAUUAUACCAUAUAUGGACUCAGGCUCAGGACAGGCGAGCCCACUGAUUUGCUUCAGGACUCCCCUAGAAUUGCAUCUUGGGAUUAGGUCAUCAUUACUAGAAAAGGGAGACCCCAGAGAGGUUGUCAGUAUGAAGAAAUCAGGACCAACUGUGGUCUGGUAAGGCAAAGAUGAAAGAAGGAGGGUGCAGCCGAGCUGUGCUUGGGAAUGAAGUCCAGAGCCUGAGAAAGCUGUGGGAGUGAUUCUGAGAGUGGUUGCAAAGGGAGUGAGGGUUACAGCAGAGGACCGGCCCCCUUCUGCAGACUCCAUCCUGCCUCUCACCCGCCUGGGGCUGCAGGAGCUGUAUCCUGAGGCAGACUCAGUCCAGUUUAAUAGGGAUCAAGGGGAAUAGCUCCCAAAUUUUAAACAUGAGAGGCAGUUUCUCUUACUGUGGGUGAGGGUGGCUGUGAUGCUGCUGAAGAUGCAGAAACCCUACUGGCCAAGUUGGAGACAGUCCAGGCUCUGAGUUAUUCUAAGGUCAAGGUGGGUUCACCCAAGCAGAACACAGCUCAUUAACCUCCAUCCCCCAACUCUCUGUUCAGGCUGGGUGAUACAGCCAUGUGGGGCUAUGGGCAUCUAGGGGGAAAGAGAGGAGAGAGGGAUGGGGGAGUGAUCUGGGAAAGCAGCUUUUAAGAGAUGGCCAAUAAGUUGUAUCUAAUUUGUAAAGAUUAAACUACUUUUUUUUGGUGUUUGACCAAUUUCAUUGCUUUAACUUUUUUUUUUGUUUUUAAGGACCAGCUUGAAGUGUUUCAGGACACUUCUCUCUGUGUGUGCCUCUUGAUUUUGUUCAGAAGCCCAGUACUAUGGAAUACUCUAUCGCAGUGAUAAUUAACUACUCGAUAUGCAAAACACAGACAAAUCUCACAAACAUAAUGUGGAGCAAAAGAAGCCAGAAACAGAAGAGUACUGUGAAAUCCCAUUUAUGUCAAGCUCAAAACCAGGUACUGGACCUCCAUAGGUGUCCCAGAGGCUCCCAUGGAAGGAUUUGCAAAUCAGGUUCCAAGAGCUUAAAAAGCCAGGCUUAGUAGUGGAGAGGCACCAGAUGAACUCUUGAUAGCCCAGGCAAGAACUGGGCACCAGCAGCAUUACUUGAUGGUGUCAAAGAGGUAGAGGACCAAAUGCCAGGAUGCAGAGGGAGCCAUGGUGCCUGGACACAGAGACUUUGCCACAGCUAUCAAGUUUGCAAAAUGAAAACAAAGGGAGAGAUUAAUGAGACUCCACCUAGAAGCAGCCACUCCUGGACAGGCUGCCCUUCCUAGAUGGCUUCAGAUGGCUGCCAGGGAACAUCUGCCUGGUUAAGAUUUCAAGUGAAGACCUAAUCGAAGCAGCCCUUUGGCAGGCUUUGCACUGGCCGGCCUGACUCUGACAUACGCUCCGAUGCCCACACAUGGUUGUGGCUGGCAGCUCAGACAGACACGACUGUUUUGGCUUCUGUCAUUUCUUUUUCUUCCUCCAGGCGCUCAAGUUCUUGAUCCCAGCUCGCCUGAUUAGGGGUCGUCAUCAGUCCGCGCACCCUGCCUGUACUUCCUGGGGCCCCCUGGUGGAUGAUCAAAGGAUAAAGGGAUAGUUGGAGGCAGGAAAGAGAGAGUUGGGGAUGAUAGUGCAGUGGACUGUGUGGAUCUUUCCCCAUAGGCUUCUAAGAAGUCUUUUGUGAAUAUCUCUCUCGUCCCCCACUGGGUGAAUGAUUUACUAUGACUAAAGGGGCCACACACACAACAGCUCUCACCCUGGAAUGGACUUUGAGAGGGAAGCAAAAGGAAGCAUUGCCUUCUUUCCUGGACUUCCCUUUGGAGCACCCCACAACUCUCAGGGGAUUUAGAAGGUAACACAUUUAGAGCUUUCCCAAAAGAAUGUGCAGCUGUGGCUUGAGCAAAAGGUGUUUACUCCCACGGAGGUGGGAUUUUUAUUGCUAGUUUCAACAUCAAGUAGGUGUGAAAGUUAUAUACAAAUCCUGACAAUCAAUACCACCUGAGAAAGGCGAGAAAGAGGGCUGCAUGGGCCAAUGCUUCACAAACUUAAGGUGCACAGCUUGGAAGCAUUGAAUUGUGGGGGGUGGGGAUCUUGUAAAGUGAAGAUUCUGAAUGAGUAGGUGUGGGGUAUGGCCCACAGUCUGUGUUUCCAACAUGCUUCUGCCACAGGAAGACUGCUCUGGACUAAGAAAUAGUCCUGUGCAUUUCUUAGCACCAACGCUCACCUCCCCCCACCAAAAACAUGAAAUAAAACAAAACAGGGACAUUGCAUUUCCUGGAAGUGUCUUACAUGACACCAAUUAAAACUAUCUUUUUUUCUUGCUCAUAAAUAUAUUCUUUUUCCUUUUUUUUGAGACGGAGUCUCUCUUUUUUGCCCAGGCUGGAGUGCAGUGGUGUGAUCUCAGCUCACUGCAACCUCCGCCUUCCAGGUUCAAGCAAUUCUCCUGCCUCAGCCUCCUGAGUAGCUGGGAUUACAGGAGUGUGCCACCACACUCGGCUAAUUUUUUGUAUUUUUAGUAGAGAUGGGGUUUCACUAUGUUGGCCAGACUGGUCUUGAACUCUUGACCUCAAGUGAUCCACCUGCCUCGGCCUCCCAAAGUGCUAAGAUUAUAGGCGUGAGCCACUGUGUCUAGCCUAGAAAUGUAUUCUUUUUUUUUUUUUUGAGAUGGAGUUUCGCUCUGUCGCCCUGGCUGGAGUGCAGUGGUGCCAUCUCGGCUCACUGCAACCUCUGCCUCCUGGGUUCAAGUGAUUCUCCUGCCUCAGCCUCCCGAGUAGCUGGGACUACAGGCGUGCACCACUACACCCAGCUAAUUUUUGUAUUUUUAGUAGAGAUGGGGUUUCUCCCAGCUAAUUUUUGUAUUUUUAGUAAAGAUGGAGUUUCACCAUGUUGGUUGGCCAGGAUGGUCUCGAUCUCUUGACCUCGUGAUCCACCCGCCUCAGCCUCCCAAAGUGCUGGGAUUACAGACAUGAGCCACCGCGCCCAGCCAAAACUUAUUCUAAAAGGUUUGACUGAUGUACAUAAAAAUCACUGGAAAACAUAGUUAUAGGUAAAUUUUAUUAUUUCUUUGUGUUUUUCUACAUUUCCCAAACUUUCUACAAAUGAACCUAUAUUGUUUUUAUUUUUCUCGAAGGCUAAGUUUGAAACAUCUUGUGUUGUUUCAAGACCUUUCUUUUCCCCCGGUGCUAGCUAGACCAGAAUGGAUUGUUUAACAUCUCAGGGCAGAUGUCUGAACCUUUGCAGGUGUUGGGAGACUCAGAAUCUUCUGGUGUUGAGGAGACCAAGCUUGGUCAGGUCGGGACCAUGUUGAAUCACUGUUUAACACUGAAGGAAGGCCAGGGAAGGCCUGUGAGGGACACGCAGUCUCUGCCUCCUGAGGUCAUGCUGAUCGCUUGCUGGCCCAAGUCUAAUUUAUUUUAGUUUCUAUGUCUGUGAACAAGGCCAAUGUGCAUGAAUGAUGGUCUGGCAUCUCGAUCCAUGUUUACAAAUCAAUGAGCAGACCACCUAAAUCAGUGAACUGUGCAUUUUAUAGAUGAGAAAAGGCAAGUUGGGGGAAAGAGACUGGAGAGGGUGGUGGUAAUUAUAGAAAUGAGACUUUCAUAACUCAAGUUUCCAUCCCAUGGCGUUUUCUUUAAAUAAGGGAUUCCCAAUCUUCAGAAGCACUAGUGCAGUAUAACUUUGGAUAAACACAGUUCUGUCUUAUCAGCACAUUGUUUUGUAUUCAAUAGGUACUCAAUGUUUAAUAUGUUAUAAAAUAUAAUUUUUGAAUACAUUUUUUUUCUGUGAUGGUCGGAGCACACAGCACAGAGCAAUUUUAGGAAAUUGCCAUGCUUUCCAAUAGUAGCUAUAAGCUUUGUGUAUCCAGUCACCCAGGACCUAUUUGUUAGAUAGGAUAAAAGAACAUUGAAGUGACAAGAUUUGACAGAAAAUCUAGGCAAUACCAUUCAGGACAUAGGCAUGGGCAAAGACUUCAUGACUAAAACACCAAAAGCAAUUGCAACAAAAGCAAAAAUUGACAAAUGGGAUCUAAUUAAACUAAAGAGCUUCUGCUCAGCAAAAGAAACUAUCAGAGUAAACAGGGAACCUACAAAAUAGGAGAAAAUAUUUGCAAUCUGACCAAGGUCUAGUACCCAGAAUCUACAAGGAACUUAAACAAAUUUACAGGAAAAAAACAAGCAAGCCCAUCAAAAAGUGGGCGAAGGAUAUGAACAGAUACUUUUCAAAGGAAGAAAUUUAUGCAGCCAACAAAUAUAUAAAGAAAAACUCAUCAUCACUGGUCAUUAGAGAAAUGCAAAUCAAAACAACAAUGAGAUAUCAUCUCGUGCCAGAUAGAAUGGCGAUCAUUAAAAAGUCUGGAAACAAUAGAUGCUGGUGAGGCUGUGGAGAAAUAGGAACACUUUUACACUGUUGGUGGGAGUGUAAAUUAGUUCACCCAUUGUGGAAGACAGCGUGGCAAUUCCUCAAGGAUCUAGGACCAGAAAUACCAUUUGACCCAGCAAUCUCAUUACUGGGUAUAUACCCAAAGGAUUAAAAAUCAUUCUACUAUAAAGACACAUGCACACGUAAUGUUUAUUGCAGCACUAUUUACAAUAGCAAAGACUUGGAACCAACCCAAAUGCCCAUCAAUGAUAGACUGGAUAAAGAAAAUGUGGCACAUACAUACCAUGGAAUACUAUGCAGCCGUAAGAAAGAAUGAGUUCAUGUCCUUUGCAGGGACAUGGAUGAAGCUGGAAACCGUCAUCCUCAGCAAACUAACACAGGAACGGAAAACCAAACACCACGUGUUCUCACUCAUAAGUGAGAGUUGAACAAUGAGAACACAUGGACACAGGGAGGGGAACAUCACACACCGGGGUCUGUUGGGGAGCGGUGGACAAGGGGAGAGAGAGCAUUAGGACAAAUACCUAAUGCAUGCUGGGCUUAAAACCUGGAUUAUGGGUUGAUAGGUGCAGCAAACCACCACGGCACAUGUAUACCUAGGUGACAAAGCUGCACGUUCAGCACAUGUAUCCCAGAACUUAAAGUAAAAUUAAAAAAAAAAAAAAAAGAACAUUGAAGUGACAAGAUUUGGGAGGACUGAAACAAAACAGACUACAAGGAACAGGAGAAAAGGGACAAUUGUAAGAGUGGUAAUAUUCUUUUAUAUUUAUGCACGUAAGAUGGCUGUACUGGUUUCAAGCAUCUGACUUUUAAUAUUUGAAGAAAUAAAAUUCUUGCUUAGGUCCUUCCACCCGCUGUUCAAGAUUGAAGAUUGACCUUCUGUUACCAUCUUAGCUGAUCUGUCUGCUGCUGCCUUUUUGCUUGUCCUACUCAGUUUUAAGUAAUUUUCAUCCUUCAUGCUCUGGGCUGCAAAAAUAAAUAUAAGCAACAUUUGCUGUCUU